rnacentral:rRNA from 1 species
GCGGACGGGUGCGUAACGCGUAUGCAACCUACCUACAUCAGGGGGAUAGCCCUAGGAAACUGGGAUUAACACCGCAUAAUAGUAUUGAUGGCAUCAUUGAUAUUUGAAAUAUUUAUAGGAUGUAGAUGGGCAUGCGUAAGAUUAGUUAGUUGGUAAGGUAACGGCUUACCAAGGCUACGAUCUUUAGGGGCUCUGAGAGGAGUAUCCCCCACACUGGCACUGAGAUACGGGCCAGACUCCUACGGGAGGCAGCAGUAGGGAAUAUUGGGCAAUGGAGGCAACUCUGACCCAGCCAUGCCGCGUGCAGGAAGACGGCCCUCUGGGUUGUAAACUGCUUUUGAAUGGGAAGAAUGUGAUGUUUGCGAGCAUUAAUGACGGUACCAUUAGAAUAAGCCACGGCUAACUACGUGCCAGCAGCCGCGGUAAUACGUAGGUGGCGAGCGUUAUCCGGAUUUAUUGGGUUUAAAGGGUGCGUAGGCGGCUUAAUAAGUCGGUGGUAAAAGGUAGCAGCUUAACUGUUUUACAUGCCAUCGAUACUGUUGAGCUUGAGUUAUUUGGAGGCAGCUAGAAUUUCCGGUGUAGCGGUGAAAUGCAUAGAUACCGGAAGGAAUACCGAUUGCGAAGGCAGGUUGCUACGAAUAUACUGACGCUGAUGCACGAAAGCGUGGGGAUCAAACAGGAUUAGAUACCCUGGUAGUCCACGCAGUAAACGAUGAUUACUAGAUGUUGGCUAAUGGUCAGUGUCCAAGGGAAACCGAUAAGUAAUCCACCUGGGGAGUACGCCGGCAACGGUGAAACUCAAAGGAAUUGAC